CAGACCACAAUGGAGCCACAUCUUCUAGAAGCCUGUGUGCGUGAUGUACUGAAUGACACAGCCCCACGAGCCAUGGCUGUGCUGGAGUCACUACGGGUCAUCAUCACCAACUUUCCUGCUGCCAAGUCCUUGGACAUCCAGGUGCCCAACUUCCCAGCUGAUGAGACCAAAGGCUUCCAUCAGGUUCCCUUUGCACCCAUUGUCUUCAUUGAGAGGACUGACUUCAAGGAGGAGCCAGAGCCAGGAUUUAAGCGCCUGGCUUGGGGCCAGCCUGUGGGCCUGAGGCAUACAGGCUACGUCAUUGAGCUGCAGCAUGUUGUCAAGGGCCCCAGUGGUUGUGUAGAGAGUCUGGAGGUGACCUGCAGACGGGCAGAUGCUGGAGAGAAGCCAAAGGCCUUUAUUCACUGGGUGUCACAGCCUUUGAUGUGUGAGGUUCGCCUCUAUGAGCGACUGUGAGUGAACAGAGCUGGGGUGGGGGCAGGUACAAGAUGCACAUUGCCUGCUGUGGCUGCCCAGCUGGGGGUAUGACCUUCACUUUGGCUGCAGAUUCCAGCACAAGAACCCUGAAGAUCCUACUGAGGUGCCUGGUGGAUUUUUAAGUGACCUGAACCUGGUAGGUUCGUGAGGUUUGGGGUGAGGGAGGUAGGCCUCCCUGGUUGGAUGGUUGCCUGAGUUCCCUGCCUGCAGGCAUCACUACACGUGGUGGAUGCAGCAUUAGUGGACUGCUCUGUGGCCCUGGCAAAACCCUUCGACAAGUUCCAGUUUGAGCGUCUUGGAUAUUUCUCCGUGGAUCCAGACAGCCAUCAGGGAAAGCUUGUCUUUAACCGAACUGUCACACUGAAGGAAGACCCGGGAAAGGUGUGAGCUGGAAGCACUGAACCUACCUCAUCCUCCUGGAGGGUGUGGCUACCCUCGCCACCCCAAAUUCCAUGUCAAUAAAGAACAGCUAAAUUCUCCUAGA
rnacentral:sRNA from 1 species